rnacentral:rRNA from 1 species
CCUACGGGUGGCAGCAGUCGAGAAUCAUUCACAAUGGGGGAAACCCUGAUGGUGCGACGCCGCGUGGGGGAAUGAAGGUCUUCGGAUUGUAAACCCCUGUCAUGUGGGAGCAAAUUAAAAAGAUAGUACCACAAGAGGAAGAGACGGCUAACUCUGUGCCAGCAGCCGCGGUAAUACAGAGGUCUCAAGCGUUGUUCGGAAUCACUGGGCGUAAGGCGUGCGUAGGCUGUUUCGUAAGUCGUGUGUGAAAGGCGCGGGCUCAACCCGCGGACGGCUCAUGAUACUGCGAGACUAGAGUAAUGGAGGGGGAACCGGAAUUCUCGGUGUAGCAGUGAAAUGCGUAGAUAUCGAGAGGAACACUCGUGGCGAAGGCGGGUUCCUGGACAUUAACUGACGCUGAGGCACGAAGGCCAGGGGAGCGAAAGGGAUUAGAUACCCCGGUAGUC